CUUGCAUUCAAGAAAGCUUGGGGGUGGUGGCGGGGAGGAAUAGGAUAGUCUGUAGGUAUUUGAAAGCCAUCUGUGAAAUGGAAUUUGACUUAUUCUGUUGCCUGCAGAGGAGCAGUCAGCAAAAGUUGCAGGACAGAGGAUGAACUAGAUGCAUCACAGAGUCUGUGAUUCUAUAAUGGAAACACUUCCCAAUAUGGAGAGAGCCACUGCUAGCCAGAUGAGGAAACAGAGGCCUACAGAAGAGAACAAAA